rnacentral:rRNA from 1 species
UACGGAGGUGGCAAGCGUUGCUCGGAAUCACUGGGCGUAAAGGGCGCGUAGGCGGGGAGGUAAGUCGGGUGUGAAAUCCCUUGGCCCAACCGAGGAACUGCGCCCGAGACUGCUUCUCUUGAGUCCCGGAGAGGAAGGUGGAAUUCCCGGUGUAGUGGUGAAAUGCGUAGAGAUCGGGAGGAACACCUGUGGCGAAGGCGGCCCCCUGGGCCGGCCCUGACACUGAGACGCGAAGGCGUGGGGAGCGAACGGG